UGCGGUCGGAGUAGUUUUGC
rnacentral:misc_RNA from 1 species